UACAGAGGUCCCAAGCGUUGUUCGGAUUCACUGGGCGUAAAGGGUGCGUAGGCGGUCGGGUAAGUCUGAUGUGAAAUCUCACAGCUUAACUGUGAAACUGCAUUGGAUACUAUCCGGCUCGAGGAAUGGAGGGGAGACUGGAAUACUUGGUGUAGCAGUGAAAUGCGUAGAUAUCAAGUGGAACACCAGUGGCGAAGGCAGCCCCCUGGGUCAAGAUUGACGCUCAUGCACGAAAGCGUGGGGAGCAAACAGG
rnacentral:rRNA from 1 species